UACAGAUACUUGCCGCAUUUCCUCAACGAUGUCGUAAAACAACUAACUGUAGCGAGUUUUGUUGCACAAGAAGAAAUGUAUAAAAUAUAACUAUUGUGUUUCAUGAAGUGUUUGAAAACCUAUUAUCGGACAUCGUAAAUAAUAAUUAAACAAGCUAUUGCACAAUAAUCUUUCCCGUAGAUACACGCUUAAGAAAAAACAUUCAGUGCUUAGUUACAAAAAAAAAUUCCCUAUAAAUUGAGCUCACAUGAAGGUUACCUAUUCACCAGCUGUGAUAAGUUUUUAGGCAGUCACACAAUCCACUUAUUGGAUUAUUUUCAACUUCCUACUUAAUGAAACAAAUUUUUUUUAAUACGUUUGAUUUUGUAGUGCGUUUAUGGUGAGAAAAAAACGUAAACAUAGUGAGUAUGUUUCGAAUAAAACAAGAAAACUACAAUUUUCGUUAGAAAUUGAUAAAAAAAAUUGUUCUGGAUUUGACAAGACAAAAAAAGGGAAUGAGAUCUACGAUCAAGAUUUAUCCUCAAGUCUUCACAUGGAUCAUUGUACUUUACUAAACACAGAAACAACCCCAGUGCCAUCAUGUCAUGUCGAUCAAGUUUUUCAGGAAACAGAAAAUAAUCUUUACACCCUUUUUUCUAUGCUAGCAAUUGUUGAUUCAAUGGACGAAAACAUUAAGCUACUACAAGAAUCUAU